rnacentral:rRNA from 1 species
ACGCUCGACACCUACGGAGGCAGCAGGUGGGGAAUAUUGCACAAGUGGGGGAAACCCUGAUGCAGCGACGCCGCGUGGAGGAAGAAGGUCUUCGGAUUGUAAACUCCUGUUGUUAGGGGAAAAGAGGAUGGUACCCAACAAGGAAGUGACGGCUAACUACGUGCUAGCAGCCGCGGUAAUCUGAGCGGGCUGGCAAGGC